CUUAUAUACAUGCAACACAUAUACUAAAAUUGGAACAAUACAGAGAUUAUCAUGGCCCCUGUGCAAGGAUGACAUGCAAAUUCGUGACGCUUUCCAUAUUUUU
rnacentral:snRNA from 1 species